CUAGCCCCUGCCAGGCGGGGUCACGGUCGCCGGCCCCGCUCAGUCCGCUGCCAGUCUGGGUUUCCGUCCACCGGCUCCUGUAAAUGUAAAAUGUAUUACUGGCACGCGAAACCUUAAAUUACAGUAAAUAAAUGAAGACUUGACACACCAUUUCUCAAAGGUUGCCAACCCUUGAUCUCUCCAGUCCAGUACCCUGGCUCUGGCAGUAGCUAGAACCAGAAGGUUCAGAGAAAGAUAAAAGCUCUGCCGUAGGCGGGUGUGAAAUAAUCUGCCACCCCAUAUCCUGGUCUUCUUUACCAAGAAAAUUUAAUUUUAAACAUAGAGCAGGAUGGCUGUUAUUUACUAAAGCUGGUCAGAUAGCAGGAAAAAAUGUUAGUUGAAUCUGUUGUGAUAAACUUCAGUAGCACUCAUUGAAUAAUAAACUUGCAGAAUUCCAUAAAAAGUAUUUGGCAAACAAGCUGUUCAUUGAAUACUGGUGAAUAUUGCUGAAUAUUGUAUCUGCUGUAUACUACUGGCCCAGCACCCUUAUUCACAAACACUGUUUGUCAGCCCUUAUUCACUUUAGUUCUGUCAGCAGACCCCGCCCCCCCCAAAAAAAAAAAAAAAAGAGACUGUUCUUGCAAUACACAUUAGCAAAAUAGGGAGGAAAAUGGACAAAAGUGUUCAGGGUAUUAGAGCCUUGAGUAAUAAAACUAGAACUUUAAAUGCACUUAUAAAUUCUCUGGAGGGAGAGGAGACAGCUCAGGCAAAUCAGCCUCUUGGAAUGACAGCUGUUUGGAAGGCAAAAAUAAUAAAAUGGAGGAGUGUGUUCAGGCUUCAGAACUCAUCAAAAAGAAAAGGGUGGAUUCUGCUCCCAUAAUGCAAAUUGAGAACCAGGUGCAGGCUUCCAAUUUGCCAAUUCUUGGAUUGCAAGAAAAUUAGCAGAGGGGCAAUUUAACAGCCUCCCUUGGGAAAAAAAGGUUGUCAGAAGCUUUGCUGCUAAAUGCACCUGACUAUCCCAUCAGUUGGCGCCUAUGGGAUAACAAACAGGAAGCAGAGGCAAAUGACAGAACUCUGUCAAAAUGCUAUUGUUCAACUUAAGAGAUAAAGUGAUGUUACAACAGGACACCGAAAGAGAAAACCUUGGUUCUAGUUAAACAAAAAUGUAUCAAGAAGAAUCUAGAAGUUUACAUCCCACUAACCUAUAGAAUUGAAGUGUCAAAAGUAGCAAGGCUGAGAGAACAAAACAUAACCUUGAAGUGGAGAAACUUCUGAAUAACUCUAAAGAUGGGGAACUGAAGAACAAACAGACCAAGUGGUUUGCACAUGCUCAUACAUGAAGUCUGUUGCAGAGCCACAAACUGAUCCCAUACCUCCUGAGGUCUAGUCCAAUGCCUUAAGAACAAGGCCACCCUUCUUCCCAGCUAUUAGACAACUCCCUGUUCGGAUUUGGUAUGACGUUGCAUUGCCUCCACAACAGUUCCAGGAGGCACUGUGCUCACAAAUAGAGAUGCUGGGCUUUAGCCCUGCUGAAAAUUUACCUUAACUUCCUCAGUCCCUUAACUUCACUAUUAUAAUCAUAAUAAAACUUAUUU